GACGAACGCUGGCGGCGUGCUUAACACAUGCAAGUCGAACGGAAAGGCCCUUCGGGGUACUCGAGUGGCGAACGGGUGAGUAACACGUGGGUGAUCUGCCCUGCACUCUGGGAUAAGCCUGGGAAACUGGGUCUAAUACCGGAUAGGACCACACACUUCAUGGUGAGUGGUGCAAAGCUUUUGCGGUGUGGGAUGAGCCCGCGGCCUAUCAGCUUGUUGGUGGGGUAAUGGCCCACCAAGGCGACGACGGGUAGCCGGCCUGAGAGGGUGACCGGCCACACUGGGACUGAGAUACGGCCCAGACUCCUACGGGAGGCAGCAGUGGGGAAUAUUGCACAAUGGGCGCAAGCCUGAUGCAGCGACGCCGCGUGAGGGAUGACGGCCUUCGGGUUGUAAACCUCUUUCAGUAGGGACGAAGCGAAAGUGACGGUACCUACAGAAGAAGGACCGGCCAACUACGUGCCAGCAGCCGCGGUAAUACGUAGGGUCCGAGCGUUGUCCGGAAUUACUGGGCGUAAAGAGCUCGUAGGUGGUUUGUCGCGUUGUUCGUGAAAACUCACAGCUUAACUGUGGGCGUGCGGGCGAUACGGGCAGACUAGAGUACUGCAGGGGAGACUGGAAUUCCUGGUGUAGCGGUGGAAUGCGCAGAUAUCAGGAGGAACACCGGUGGCGAAGGCGGGUCUCUGGGCAGUAACUGACGCUGAGGAGCGAAAGCGUGGGUAGCGAACAGGAUUAGAUACCCUGGUAGUCCACGCCGUAAACGGUGGGUACUAGGUGUGGGUUUCCUUCCUUGGGAUCCGUGCCGUAGCUAACGCAUUAAGUACCCCGCCUGGGGAGUACGGUCGCAAGACUAAAACUCAAAGGAAUUGACGGGGGCCCGCACAAGCGGCGGAGCAUGUGGAUUAAUUCGAUGCAACGCGAAGAACCUUACCUGGGUUUGACAUGCACAGGACGUACCUAGAGAUAGGUAUUCCCUUGUGGCCUGUGUGCAGGUGGUGCAUGGCUGUCGUCAGCUCGUGUCGUGAGAUGUUGGGUUAAGUCCCGCAACGAGCGCAACCCUUGUCCUAUGUUGCCAGCGGGUAAUGCCGGGGACUCGUAGGAGACUGCCGGGGUCAACUCGGAGGAAGGUGGGGAUGACGUCAAGUCAUCAUGCCCCUUAUGUCCAGGGCUUCACACAUGCUACAAUGGCCAGUACAGAGGGCUGCGAAGCCGUAAGGUGGAGCGAAUCCCUUAAAGCUGGUCUCAGUUCGGAUUGGGGUCUGCAACUCGACCCCAUGAAGUCGGAGUCGCUAGUAAUCGCAGAUCAGCAACGCUGCGGUGAAUACGUUCCCGGGCCUUGUACACACCGCCCGUCACGUCAUGAAAGUCGGUAACACCCGAAGCCAGUGGCCUAACCUUUUGGAGGGAGCUGUCGAAGGUGGGAUCGGCGAUUGGGACGAAGUCGUAAC
rnacentral:rRNA from 1 species